rnacentral:lncRNA from 1 species
CAUCAGAAGUCUAAGCAUAUAAAGCGAUGGUUUUACAUCAUACAUGAAUACCUCGAGAAAAAAUUCAUUGAGAUACAGAGAGUCGACUCCGUACAUAACAUGGCAGAUCUGUUGACUAAGCCUCUCAGCUAGCAGAAGACUGAAGCUCACCUUGAGAAGAUGGGCCUUAGGUAUAUGGCCAAUUGACUUUAGGUCAAAUGAGA